rnacentral:misc_RNA from 1 species
AUUCAAACUGGGAAUACUUCCUACACUGACAAAAUGAAACCCAGACAAAGCAAAGUGGUGGAUAGAAUGGUUGAUGAAUGAAUUGAAAAUGAUCAGUGAAGAUGAAGCAGCUUGCCUCUACUUGCCACACAUUCCGUCAACAGUUCCUCUUCAGUAUCUCUUGAAGUGGCAAAGGGGCAGGAGGACAUUCUUGGCAUUAGGAUGGUCCAAUUCAACUGUCUCCCACCAUUCUUGGGGAAAUAUUUUGAUGUUUUGGAGAGAAGGGAGUGGAGACAGUUGGUCAUUGUCCAACACGAAAAGAGAGAGAGGCAUCCUCUUUAACUUCAGGCAACUGUCUACAUAAAUUCUACAGAGAGAAUUGCAAAUCAUUUUUCCACUGCAAAUGCUCUUUAGUUCUGGUAAGUAACUCAAACUAAUAGACUGUAAUUUUGGGAGAGGGAAAUGAAUAAUGCCCUUGCUUUUAUGGCUUUCUUGUUGCUCUUCCAUUGCUAUCAGCUCCUCUAUGUUUUUACAAUAAUGAACAGAAAUGUCUUCCAGCUUUUGAAGGUUUGAAGACAAGCCAGGAGGGAACAGCUUCUUUAUACUUGGACAUCCCCACAUAGAAAAUUUUUUAAGAAGAGAAAAGGUACCAAGAGGUGGUGACAAUGGCAUAAAUUUUGCUGGUGGUGAUGCCAUAGCUGCUUCUCUACCAAAGAGGAAAUGCAAGUCCUUUAAAUCGCUAAUAUACAUAUCCUCAAGGCUUUGAAAUAUAGAAGGAGAAGAGGACAAUGAGAACAAACAUUCUAUCCCAUUACAAGAUGCAAUUGUGAAGGAUCUUGGUUCAGUCGCAUUUUUCAAGCAUAAGCUCCUUCGUUUUAUGUCGCAUUGAAAAAAAUCCAGGCAUUGGACGUCUUUUGGGAGAAGUAUGGCAUCUUCAUCUCCAUCGAUACUGCAAUUAUCAAAAUACACAACUUUCAAACCUCGUGGUAACAAGUUGUCUGGUGGCUUAUGUUGGGCAACCAGAAGAUAGUAUUGAAUUAGAUUGGAAGUAUGUGUUGAAGUUGUGUAUGCAUUCAACUCAUCAACAUCAUAGACAC